rnacentral:rRNA from 1 species
AUUGAACGCUGGCGGCAUGCCUUACACAUGCAAGUCGAACGGCAGCACGGGGGCAACCCUGGUGGCGAGUGGCGAACGGGUGAGUAAUGCAUCGGAACGUGCCCAGUAGUGGGGGAUAACCAGUCGAAAGGCUGGCUAAUACCGCAUACGACCUACGGGUGAAAGCGGGGGACCGUAAGGCCUCGCGCUAUUGGAGCGGCCGAUGUCUGAUUAGCUAGUUGGCGGGGUAAGAGCCCACCAAGGCGACGAUCAGUAGCUGGUCUGAGAGGACGGCCAGCCACACUGGGACUGAGACACGGCCCAGACUCCUACGGGAGGCAGCAGUGGGGAAUUUUGGACAAUGGGCGCAAGCCUGAUCCAGCCAUGCCGCGUGCGGGAAGAAGGCCUUCGGGUUGUAAACCGCUUUUGGCAGGAACGAAACGGCGCAAGCCAAUACCUUGCGCUAAUGACGGUACCUGCAGAAUAAGCACCGGCUAACUACGUGCCAGCAGCCGCCGUAA